CCUCUUAGACCUGAGGCCUUACUCUUGAAUUUUUCGAGUUGCCAAACGAGACGUGUUGAGGGUGUCACGUGGUACAAACACGUUACACAAACAGAAAAUCGUACUCUCGACACUCAACACGCAUCUCACAGCUACUCCCUUAACAUGUUGACAACACACAUAGUAUAGAGUAGCCGAGAUAGCUACACGUGACUCGUUUUAAUCGUUUUUCAUCAUGUUGGACGAAUAUGAUAUGUUGCUAGCAAUUGAAAUUUUAGAAAGAGAAGAACGUCGAUCUUUAAGGAGAGAGAGAAUAAUUCGAUCAAGAGGAGAUGCAUUUGAAAUCCAUGAAGUGCAUUUUCGGCGAUUAUUUCGAGUUUCCAAAGAAUUAGCGAAAAAUCUCAUAAAUGAUAUGACACCAUUAAUGAAACAACCUAAACGCAAAUCGGAACUCAGCGUACAAAUAAAGGUGAGUAAGAUAUAAA
rnacentral:lncRNA from 1 species